rnacentral:rRNA from 1 species
UAGGGAAUCUUCCGCAAUGGACGCAAGUCUGACGGAGCAACGCCGCGUGAGUGAAGAAGGAUUUCGGUUCGUAAAACUCUGUUGUUAGAGAAGAACAGCGCAUAGAGUAACUGUUAUGCGUGUGACGGUAUCUAACCAGAAAGGGACGGCUAACUACGUGCCAGCAGCCGCGGUAAUACGUAGGUCCCGAGCGUUGUCCGGAUUUAUUGGGCGUAAAGCGAGCGCAGGCGGUUAGAUAAGUCUGAAGUUAAAGGCAGUGGCUCAACCAUUGUAGGCUUUGGAAACUGUUUAACUUGAGUGCAGAAGGGGAGAGUGGAAUUCCAUGUGUAGCGGUGAAAUGCGUAGAUAUAUGGAGGAACACCAGUGGCGAAGGCGACUCUCUGGUCUGUAACUGACGCUGAGGCUCGAAAGCGUGGGUAGCAAACAGG